GGGGUAUAGCGCAGUUGGGAGCGCGUCUGAAUGGCAUUCAGAAGGUCACGGGUUCGAAUCCCGUUAUCUCC
rnacentral:tRNA from 1 species